GAUGAACGCUGGCGGCGUGCCUAAUACAUGCAAGUCGAGCGAACAGACGAUUAGCUUGCUCCUCUGACGUUAGCGGCGGACGGGUGAGUAACACGUGGUUAACCUACCUAUAAGACUGGGAUAACUUCGGGAAACCGGAGCUAAUACCGGAUAAUAUAUUGAACCGCAUGGUUCAAUAGUGAAAGACGGUUUUGCUUUCACUUAUAUAUGGAUCCGCUCCGCAUUAGCUAGUUGGUAAGGUAACGGUUUACCAAGGCAACGAUGCGUAGCCGACCUGAGAGGGUGAUCGGCCACACUGGAACUGAGACACGGUCCAGACUCCUACGGGAGGCAGCAGUAGGGCAUCUUCCGAAAUGGGCGAAAGCUUGACGGAGCAACGCCGCGUGAGUGAUGAAGGUCUUCGGAUCGUAAAACUCUGUUAUUAGGGAAGAACAAAUGUGUAAGUAACUAUGCACGUCUUGACGGUACCUAAUCAGAAAGCCACGGCUAACUACGUG
rnacentral:rRNA from 1 species